GUCCUCUCAGGGUCACACCUGGAGAGUUUCCAGUACUCUAUCAGUCUUGGCUACGGAAGGGAGAGUCAAGCAGAGGCCUACCCAUUCCCUUUCUAGCUUGGCCAGUGGCUAGUGGACGGAAGGCAAUCUGCUACAAGU
rfam:Ornithorhynchus anatinus chromosome 7, whole genome shotgun sequence.